rnacentral:rRNA from 1 species
GUAGGUGGCAAGCGUUGUCCGGAAUUAUUGGGCGUAAGGCGCGCGCAGGCGGUUCUUUAAGUCUGAUGUGAAAGCCCACGGGCUCAACCGUGGAGGGUCAUUGGAAACUGGAGAACUUGAGUACAGAAGAGGAAAGCGGAAUUCCACGUGUAGCGGUGAAAUGCGUAGAGAUGUGGAGGAACACCAGUGGCGAAGGCGGCUUUCUGGUCUGUAACUGACGCUGAGGCGCGAAAGCGUGGGGAGCAAACAGGAUUAGAUACCCUGGUAGUCCACGCCGUAAACGAUGAGUGCUAAGUGUUAGGGGGUUUCCGCCCCUUAGUGCUGCAGCUAACGCAUUAAGCACUCCGCCUGGGGAGUACGGCCACAAGGCUG